rnacentral:rRNA from 1 species
GAUGAACGCUAGCGGCAGGCCUAAUACAUGCAAGUCAAGGGGCCAGCAAUGGCACCGGCGCACGGGUGCGUAACACGUACACAACAUACCUUUAAGUGGGAGAUAGCAUCGGGAAACUGGUGGUAAUACCCCAUAAUAUUGCGAUGCGGCAUCACAUUGCAAUUAAAGUUUCGACGCUUAAAGAUUGGUGUGCGUCCGAUUAGCUAGUUGGCGGGGUAACGGCCCACCAAGGCUACGAUCGGUAGGGGGUGUGAGAGCAUGACCCCCACAUGGGUACUGAGACACGGACCCAACUCCUACGGGAGACAGCAGUAAGGAAUAUUGGACAAUGGACGAAAGUCUGAUCCAGCCAUGCCGCGUGCAGGAUGAAGGCGCUCAGCGUUGUAAACUGCUUUUGGAUGGGAAUAA